GACAGAGGGUGCAAGCGUUAAUCGGAAUUACUGGGCGUAAAGCGUGCGUAGGUGGUUUGUUAAGUCAGGCGUGAAAUCCUGGGGCUCAACCUCAGAAUUGCGCUGGAUACUGACAGACUCGAGUGUGGUAGAGGAUAGUGGAAUUCCCGGUGUAGCGGUGAAAUGCGUAGAUAUCGGGAGGAACAUCAGCGGCGAAGUCGGCUAUCUGGACCAACACUGACACUGAGGUACGAAAGCGUGGGUAGCAAACAUG
rnacentral:rRNA from 1 species